CUUUAUUUUAAUGUUAAUCAACUAUUUUAUUCCCUCACAAAAACUCCUUCAAUCAUCUCAUAUUUCUUUACAAACUCAAAUGUAGAGAUUCGUGAUCGGUAGAGCUAAGAAUCUCAUCAGCCAUUCCUUUCAAUAUCAACCUGAACGUCAACAUCAAGGCUUUGAUCAUUUUGUGCCAUCUCAUUCACGUUUCUUAUCUUCGACUUCUGUUCUUGAUUUUCCUUUUCUUUUUUUUCUUUCUGCUUCUUCUUCUUUGCCUAUGGCUCCUCUGUCUCUUAAUACUAUUAAUCCGAAAGUGGUGACUUUUUCUUUUUUAUUGAAAUUCACUGUUUCGAUCGGUUUCUGGGUUCUUAAUUUGAGUGAUUUUAGUAUCUGAAUUUGCUUUGUUUUUGUUUAUUUGUUUACCUUUUGGAAGUUUUCUUUUUUCUAUUUGCAUACAACAUUCUAUCCAUCUUCCACAUUACCAUGUUAGGGGGGAGAAUACUGAUGACAUGUUGGUAUAUACUAUCACAUCUCCUAUUUCUGCUCCUACUCAUCCAACGAUCACUCAGGUCUACUCUAGAUGACAAAAUCCUCCUGAUACAUGUCCUAAACCAGAUCCUUUGCCAUCGGAUCCCAUGUCAAGUGAUGAUCUUCUAAUUGCCCUUUGCAAAGGGAAACGUCAGUGUACUUACCCUAUUUUUUUCUUUGUGUCUUAUAACUAUUUGUCACCAACUACUUGUUCUUUCAUUGCAUGUCUUGAUUCUGUUUCUAUUUCUAAGACUAUUCAAGAAGUCUUAUCCCGUCCUGGCUAGCGUAAUGCUAUGAUGGCGGAGAUGAAUACUUUAGGUGAUAAUGGUACUUGGAAUUUAGCAGAUUUACCUGCACGGAAGAAGGCCAUUGAGUGCAUUCAUUAUUGGCCUCUGCAUCAAUUAGAUAUUAAGAAUACUUUUUUCUUCAUGGAGAUCUCCAAGAGGAGGUGUAUAUAAAGCAACCUCCCGGUUUUGUUGCUCAAGGGGAGUAUGGGAAAGUCUGUCAUCUUUGAAAAUCUUUGUAUAGCUUGAAACAGAGCCCACAUGCCUGGUUUAGCAAGUUUAUCAAGCAGGGGAUGACGAAAAGCAUAUCUAAUCAUUCAGUCUUCUAUAAACAAUCUGAGGGUGGAAUAAUCUUGCUAGUUGUCUAUGUGGAUGACAUUGCCAUUAUUGGAAAUGAUACUUUAGGUAUUUCAUCUAUUAAAUUCUUUCUUGAUAGUCAAUUUCACAUAAUGGAUUUAGAGAUGUUAAAGUACUUCUUAGGUGUUGAGGUGCUAGGGAGUAAGAAUGGGAUUUUAUUAUCCCAAAGGAAAUAUAUGCUUGACUUGCUAUCUGAGACACGUAAAUUGGGUACUAAAUCAUAUAGUACUCCAAUGAUGCUUAAUCUAUAGCUUACAAAAGAUAGUGAAUUAUUUGAAGAUCUUGAACGAUACAGAAGAUAAGUUGGGAAGAUAAAUUACUUAAUGGUGACUCAUCCAGACAUUGCAUAUUCAGUUAGUGUUGUGAGCCAGUACAUGUCUUCUCCAAGAUUUGAUCAUUAAAAAGUAGUAGAAUAAAUUUUGUAUUAUUUGAAAGGGGCUCCUAGCCAUAGAAUCUUGUAUAGAAAUCAUAGUCAUUCUAGGAUUUGAUAUUUUUCAGAUGCUAAUUAGGCAAAAUCUAAAGAAGAUCGAAAAUCUAUUUUUGGAUAUUAUGUCUUUGUUGGAGGAAAUCUAGUGUCACGGAGGAGUAAGAAGCAACAUGUAGUUACACGUUCCAGUGCAGAAUCGGAAUACCGAGCUAUGGCACAAUCAGUGUGUGAAAUAACAUGAAUUCAUAAGCUUUUGUCUAAAUUAGGUUUUAACAUUUUUGUACUAGCCAAAUUGUGGUGUGAUAAUCAAGAAGCUCUUCACAUUGCAUUAAAUUUAGUAUUCCAUAAACGAACUAUGCACAUUGAAGUUGAUUGUCAUUUUGUUCGUGAGAAGAUACAACAAGGACUCAUUUCUACAAUAUACGUAAAGAUUGGAGAACAAUUAGGAGAUAUUUUCACAAAAGCUCUAAAUGGGGCUCGAGUUGAUUAUUUGUAUAACAAGCUGGGCAUGAUUAACAUCUAUACUCUAGCUUGAGGAGGAGUAGUACAGGAGACUAAAUUAGAUUUCUAAUAGGAGUUCUUCUUUGUAUAAUUUUCGUAUUUAGUUUAAGAGUCUUUAUACGUUUAUAUAUAUGUGUGGUUAUUGUCAGUAAGAUGUGUGUGAGUUUUCCAA